GGUUAAAAAAUCUGAAUUUUUCUUUAUGGAUUUCCUUGAUGGUCUUUCACAAAUAAUCAUUAAAUAAUGUUUGACACUGGGAACCUUGCCAUUUCAUUAUUAAAGAAGCUUUUAUAGAGGGUUGAAUACUAAAAGUUUGCUUAUCGGUGAAACACAUGUUUCUUGUAAAUCAUUCUAUUCACUGCCAUAAACAAAUUAUGUGUUGAACAGUCUACAUAGUAUGGCUUUAAAUGACAACAUAUUGUUGCCCUUUAGACUCUCUGAUGCCCCCUAGAAUGUUUAUUAAUCCAUGUUUGUUUUGUCCUUCCUCUAGUUCCAGGACCCUUGGGGCUACUAUUGCAAAUGUACCAGGAUGAAAUCUUCACGGCAGUCAUCUGUCACUGUAUCCAGCAGAUCUAUUGCCACAGAAAAUGUUGUAGCUGCAAACAAAAGCAGUUUCUCUUCAGGAUGAGUCACAGUGGUCUGACAUUAUUUCUGCCUCUGCCACUGGUGUGAAUGGACUUUAUGAAUGACGAUCCACUUCUAUUGACCCCGUGUUCAGUCGCUCAGGUAGAUGUACGUAAGACGGUUGGAUGGUUGUACGGGUAGGCUACGCCGUGGGAAGAAGCUACAGAGGACACGGACAGGAUAAAGUCAUUGGAUAACUUUUGGAGCAUCCCGAAAGAUUGUCAUCAGAACGGGAAAAGAUGGUAAGUACAACAUAAUUACUGUAG